UACGUAGGGGGCAAGCGUUGUCCGGAUUUAUUGGGCGUAAAGAGCGUGUAGGCGGCCUGGAAGGUCAGCUGUGAAAACUCGAGGCUCAACCUCGAGACGUCGGUUGAAACCACUUGGCUAGAGUCCGGAAGAGGAGUGUGGAAUUCCCGGUGUAGCGGUGAAAUGCGCAGAUAUCGGGAAGAACACCCGUGGCGAAGGCGGC
rnacentral:rRNA from 1 species